UACGUAGGGUGCAAGCGUUGUCCGGAAUUAUUGGGCGUAAAGAGCUCGUAGGCGGUUUGUCGCGUCUGCUGUGAAAUCUGGGGGCUCAACCCCCAGCCUGCAGUGGGUACGGGCAGACUAGAGUGCGGUAGGGGAGAUUGGAAUUCCAGGUGUAGCGGUGAAAUGCGUAGAUAUCUGGAGGAACACCGGUGGCGAAGGCGGCAUUCUGGGACCAUUACUGACGCUGAGGAGCGAAAGCCAGGGGAGCAAACGGG
rnacentral:rRNA from 1 species